rnacentral:rRNA from 1 species
GGGAAUAACAUCGAGAAAUCGGUGCUAAUACCGCAUAAUGCAGCGGCACCUAAUGGUGACAGUCAAACAAGCAGGGGAUCGUAAGACCUCGCGUCUGAAGAGGAGCCUGCGGCGGAUUAGCUAGUUGGUAAGGUAACGGCUUACCAAGGCUAUGAUCCGUAACUGGCCUGAGAGGGCGGUCGGUCACACUGACACUGACAUACGGGUCAGACUCCUACGGGAGGCAGCAGUCGGGAAUUUUGGGCAAUGGGCGAAAGCCUGACCCAGCAACGCCGCGUGAAGGAUGAAAUCCCUCGUUUAUGUAAACUUCGCAAGAACGGGAAGAAUAAGUCUGCGUGAAUAUCGCAGGC